GAGGAACGCUGGCGGCGUGCUUAACACAUGCAAGUCGAACGGUGAACGAGGGAGCUUGCUCCCUCCGGAUCAGUGGCGAACGGGUGAGUAACACGUGAGCAAUCUGCCCUGGACUCUGGGAUAAGCGUUGGAAACGACGUCUAAUACCGGAUACGAGGCGUGGGGGCAUCCCCAACGCCUGGAAAGAACUUCGGUCCAGGAUGAGCUCGCGGCCUAUCAGCUUGUUGGUGAGGUAACGGCUCACCAAGGCGACGACGGGUAGCCGGCCUGAGAGGGUGACCGGCCACACUGGGACUGAGACACGGCCCAGACUCCUACGGGAGGCAGCAGUGGGGAAUAUUGCACAAUGGGCGCAAGCCUGAUGCAGCAACGCCGCGUGAGGGACGACGGCCUUCGGGUUGUAAACCUCUUUUAGCAGGGAAGAAGCGAAAGUGACGGUACCUGCAGAAAAAGCACCGGCUAACUACGUGCCAGCAGCCGCCGUAACAC
rnacentral:rRNA from 1 species